rnacentral:rRNA from 1 species
UCGGGAAUUUUGGGCAAUGGGCGAAAGCCUGACCCAGCAACGCCGCGUGAAGGAUGAAGUAUUUCGGUAUGUAAACUUCGAAAGAAUAGGAAGAAUAAAUGACGGUACUAUUUAUAAGGUCCGGCUAACUACGUGCCAGCAGCCGCGGUAAUACGUAGGGACCAAGCGUUGUUCGGAUUUACUGGGCGUAAAGGGCGCGUAGGCGGCAAUUCAAGUCAUCUGUGAAAUCUCCGGGCUUAACUCGGAACGGUCAGAUGAUACUGCUUUGCUAGAGUGCAGAAGGGGCAAUCGGAAUUCUUGGUGUAGCGGUGAAAUGCGUAGAUAUCAAGAGGAACACCUGAGGUGAAGACGGGUUGCUGGGCUGACACUGACGCUGAGGCGUGAAAGCCAGGGGAGCAAACGGGAUUAGAUACCCUAGUAGUCCCUGAGCGGGCUGGCAAGGCGCAU